rnacentral:rRNA from 1 species
AUUGAACGCUGGCGGCAGGCUUAACACAUGCAAGUCGAGCGGAAACGAUGGUAGCUUGCUACCAGGCGUCGAGCGGCGGACGGGUGAGUAAUACUUAGGAAUCUACCUAGUAGUGGGGGAUAGCUCGGGGAAACUCGAAUUAAUACCGCAUACGACCUACGGGAGAAAGGGGGCAACUUGUUGCUCUCGCUAUUAGAUGAGCCUAAGUCGGAUUAGCUAGAUGGUGGGGUAAAGGCCUACCAUGGCGACGAUCUGUAGCUGGUCUGAGAGGAUGAUCAGCCACACCGGGACUGAGACACGGCCCGGACUCCUACGGGAGGCAGCAGUGGGGAAUAUUGAACAAUGGGGGCAACCCUGAUCCAGCCAUGCCGCGUGUGUGAAGAAGGCCUUUUGGUUGUAAAGCACUUUAAGCAGUGAAGAAGACUCCGUGGUUAAUACCCACGGACGAUGACAUUAGCUGCAGAAUAAGCACCGGCUAACUCUGUGCCAGCAGCCGCGGUAAUACAGAGGGUGCAAGCGUUAAUCGGAAUUACUGGGCGUAAAGCGAGCGUAGGUGGCUUGAUAAGUCAGAUGUGAAAUCCCCGGGCUUAACCUGGGAACUGCAUCUGAUACUGUUAGGCUAGAAUAGGUGAGAGGAAGGUAGAAUUCCAGGUGUAGCGGUGAAAUGCGUAGAGAUCUGGAGGAAUACCGAUGGCGAAGGCAGCCUUCUGGCAUCAUAUUGACACUGAGGUUCGAAAGCGUGGGUAGCAAACAGG